rnacentral:rRNA from 1 species
GCUUGCUCUUACGGGUGGCGAGUGGCGGACGGGUGAGGAAUACAUCGAGAAUCUACUUUUUCGUGGGGGAUAACGUAGGGAAACUUACGCUAAUACCGCAUACGACCUACGGGUGAAAGCAGGGGAUCUUCGGACCUUGCGCGAUUGAAUGAGCCGAUGUCGGAUUAGCUAGUUGGCGGGGUAAAGGCCCACCAAGGCGACGAUCCGUAUCUGGUCUGAGAGGAUGAUCAGCCACACUGGAACUGAGACACGGUCCAGACUCCUACGGGAGGCAGCAGUGGGGAAUAUUGGACAAUGGGCGCAAGCCUGAUCCAGCCAUACCGCGUGGGUGAAGAAGGCCUUCGGGUUGUAAAGCCCUUUUGUUGGGAAAGAAAUCCAGCUGGUUAAUACCCGGUUGGGAUGACGGUACCCAAAGAAUAAGCACCGGCUAACUUCGUGCCAGCAGCCGCGGUAAUACGAAGGGUGCAAGCGUUACUCGGAAUUACUGGGCGUAAAGCGUGCGUAGGUGGUCGUUUAAGUCUGUUGUGAAAGCCCUGGGCUCAACCUGAGAACUGCAGUGGAAACUGGACGACUAGAGUGUGGUAGAGGGUAGCGGAAUUCCUGGGGUAGCAGUGAAAUGCGUAAAAAAUCAGGAGGAA